rnacentral:tRNA from 1 species
GGGGAGGCCAGCCGAUAGGUGCCGGCACCCGUCUCGAAAACGGCGUUGGGUUCACGCCCGUGUGGGUUCGACUCCCACCCUCCCCGC